rnacentral:rRNA from 1 species
UUUAGAGUUUGAUCCAUGGCUCAGGACGAACGCUGGCGGCGCGCCUUACGCAUGCAAGUCGAACGCCCCGGUUCGCCGGGGAGUGGCAGACGGCUGAGUAACGCGUUGGUAACCUGUCCCACAGUGGGGGAUAACCCGCCGAAAGGUGGGCUAAUACCGCAUGUGAUCCCGUGGUGAAAGACCGCGGGAGGAAAGCCGCAAGGCGCUGAGGGAGGGGCCCGCGUCCUAUCAGGUAGUUGGUGAGGUAACGGCUCACCAAGCCGACGACGGGUAGCUGGUCUGAGAGGACGACCAGCCAGACGGGGACUGAGACACGGCCCCGACUCCUACGGGAGGCAGCAGCGAGGAAUCUUGGGCAAUGGGCGAAAGCCUGACCCAGCGACGCCGCGUGGGGGAAGAAGGCCUUCGGGUCGUAAACCCCUUUUGCCGGGGGAGAAGCUCUGACGUACCCGGCGAAUAAGCCACGCA